UGAUGACAACAGCACUCUCACCAUAGUCAGAGUGACCCGGUAUGACCAGGGGCAAUUUAGCUGUAAUGUGUUCAACCCAGGCCCCCAGUGUCUGAUCUGGAGCGCAAAGUCACGAGCUCUGCAGGUCAGCUACUGCGUAGCAUCCUAGCAAUGACAAAAGCCAUGGUCUUCCCAAGAAAGACUAUGUAAAUCAAGAUUGCCUUUAUUAUUAUGAAAUUCGAUCCCCGCGCUGAAUUAUUUUAAAGUUCAAAUCAAGAUAUUUAAUUAAUUUGUGAUCUAUUCUGAUGACUACAUUUGUCAUCACACAGGACCACGUGCUGACACAGACCAAUCACUGACACAGACCAAUCACGGGCUGGCAGACUACGAGGCUACAAUUAUCAUUGUAUCAGGAACCAAGGUACAGAAGUAGUCUGAAUCACAGACAUUUGUUACAUCAGAAGAGAUGGUGGCAUCUGUAGUCGUCUUUCUUACCAUGGCAACACUCUCAGGAUAUUGUGCUGGUCUAGAAGUGCUUCCUCCUGGACCUGUGAAUGGAACAUUGGGAGGAAAUGUGUUUUUCAAAACCACCAUCAAUCCAACGACACUUAGUGCAAUCGUCUGGACUUUUGGUGAUA